rnacentral:lncRNA from 1 species
CCCCCCUCGAAGUUUUUAAAAUUUUCAAUGCCCCCCCCGUCCUCUCUAGAAUUCGGAAUCGAAGGAGUACAAUCCGGAAUUCUCUCUUAUCAUAGAUACAAUUUGCAGUUCCUCAAGAUGUCUGAUAUACUCAAGUGCUACUCAGUUCUUCUUCUUAACAAAACUACCGAUCUGCUGCUUCUUUCAUCUCACUAGCGCCAGAUGAAAUGGCACCGUCUUUAAAACAUUUUAAAUUGGCUCUAGGGGUGGAAUUAUCAACAAGUCGUUGUUGCCCAUCAUUGAGCGCAUUCGGAGUCUUGAACACAUUCAUGUAGUGGCCAGGAUUUCCUGGAUCAGGGUAAUGUGCUGGAACCUUACAGUAUGUUGCCCCCACCCAACGUAUCUCCCGGCAUCUGUUGCAAAUGUCUUUGCAUGCCUGUCAAAAAUGCAUGCAAAAGUGCCAGUAUGCUUUAAUUUCCAUCCCGUUUGUACGAAAUAUCCCAUAAACAUAGAACAUAUCAUUCUUGCAAAUUGUAUAUGCUUUUUUGCUUUUUGGCGCGUAAAUUACUUCACAAACCUGGCGCAAAAAAAAUUAAAAUAAGCUAUAGGUGAUUUCAUGUAUCCAUUUAGAAGAGCAGACUAAGGAUAUCUUGGACGUAGCAAAGCAUCUGACGUAGCAGGGACGUAGCAAAGCAUCUGACGUUUGGGGUGGGGGGGGGGGAUGUCAGAGGAUUAUACGUGUAAUAAUUAUAAUAAAGCUUUUUGUGAUUGAUUGGCACUCUUAUACUAAGUUUUGGGAGAAAAGGGGUGUCGGGGGGUCCUCCCCCAGAAAAGUUUUAC